CCUUUUCUCAGGAGACUGUUAUGGUCUCGACAUCACUUAUGAACAUCACUUAGCUAAUACAUUUUGGACAUGAUUGACUCAUUUCUCCACAGUUGACCUGCAUGUACAAUUUACUGAAAGACAACCUCUACCUGAACUUUGCAGAUUAUCUCUUAAACAUGCUACUCUAUUACAAGUAAAUAUCAUCCUGUUUGUCAUCUCUUCUUGUUUGUCAUCUCUUCCUGUUUGUCAUUCUUCCUGUUUGUCAUCUCAUUGUCAUCUCCUCUUGUUCUUCAUCUCUUCCUGUUUGUCAUCUCCUCUUGUUUGUCAUCUCUUCCUGUUUGUCAUCUCUUCCUGUUUGUCAUCUCUGUCUGUUUGUCAUCUCUUCCUGUUUGUCAUCUCUUCCUGUUUGUCAUCUCUUCCUGUUUGUCAUCUCCUCCUGUUUGUCAUCUCUUCCUGUUUGUCAUCUCUUCCUGUUUGUCAUCUCUUCCUGUUUGUCAUCUCAUUGUCAUCUCCUCUUGUUCGUCAUCUCUUCCUGUUUGUCAUCUCUUCCUGUUUGUCAUCUCUUCCUGUUUGUCAUCUCUUCCUGUUUGUCAUCUCAUUGUCACCUCCUCUUGUUCGUCAUCUCUUCCUGUUUGUCAUCUCCUCUUGUUCGUCAUCUCUUCCUGUUUGUCAUCUCUUCCUGUUUGUCAUCUCUGUCUGUUUGUCAUCUCUUCCUCUUUGUCAUCUCUUCCUGUUUGUCAUCUCUUCCUGUUUGUCAUCUCUUCCUGUUUGUCAUCUCUGUCUGUUUGUCAUCUCUUCCUUUUUGUCAUCUCUUCCUUUUUGUCAUCUCUUCCUGUUUGUCAUCUCAUUGUCACCUCCUCUUGUUCGUCAUCUCUUCCUGUUUGUCGUCUCCUCCUGUUUGUCAUCUCUUCCUCUUUGUCAUCUCUUCCCCAUCUCUUCCUCUUUGUCAUCUCUUCCUCUGUCAUCUCUUCCUGUUUGUCAUCUCUUCCUGGUUGUCAUCUCAUUGUCACCUCCUCUUGUUCGUCAUCUCUUCCUGUUUGUCGUCUCCUCCUGUUUGUCAUCUCUUCCUCUUUGUCAUCUCUUCCCCAUCUCUUCCUCUUUGUCAUCUCUUCCUCUGUCAUCUCUUCCUGUUUGUCGUCUCCUCCUGUUUGUCAUCUCUUCCUUUUUGUCAUCUCUUCCUGUUUGUCGUCUCCUCCUGUUUGUCAUCUCUUCCUCUUUGUCAUCUCUUCCCCAUCUCUUCCUCUUUGUCAUCUCUUCCUCUGUCAUCUCUUCCUGUUUGUCAUCUCUUCCUGGUUGUCAUCUUGACAUUAACAUAAUGUAUAAUAAUCCAGACUACUGUAACUGAACUACCUGGAAAUACAGUAUGAGUGAUGUGUAGAUCACAGGGUUUAGGGAAUGUUUUAUUGACUCAUUUGUAUUAGACCGUGUUCAUAGUUCAUUCCAUUCCAGCGACUCAAAGGCUGAGCAAAGCAGUUGCAGGUCCUUCUUCAGCGCUAUAGAUUCUGCAGACUUCUCCAUCCUCUUCAGCGUGCUGAAAUAACGCACUGCUACUGGUCAAUGCUAAAAAGUUGCUUGGAGAGUGGCUGCAGAGUUGUGUCCUUCAUCUAUAGAUUAAUAUCUCCUCUUGAUCUCUUUUUAAGGUAUACAGUGGCAUGUGAAGUGAUCCCUAGUGGCACAUUCCCAUA
ensembl:lncRNA